ensembl:lncRNA LINC02980 long intergenic non-protein coding RNA 2980
UCCCGCAGGCCUGGUGUGAGCCUGGGGUCCGUUCUCACAGCUGGAUCUGGGGUCUGAAUGCCGCGCCCUCUGGAGAGCCACAGAUGGGUCUCCGCUGAUGCUUCUCUCAAUUUCCUCUAAGAGCGAGAGCUCCGGGAAAGGAGCCGAUCCUGGUGGAAGACUACAGGUCUGAGUCCACUGGACGAAAAACGAGGCUCCUUGGAUUAGAGACCAUCCUGAGGACAUCCUUGGGAGCCAUGUGCUGAAGAUGGCCAAGCCACAGGAUGAAAGGAGCUGCAUCUUUGAGUCACCACUGGAGAAAGGUCUCUCUAAAUGGAUUUGCAGAGACGUCUUCUCGAAUACUCCCCUUCUAAGUUCCACUUGUAAUCCACUUCUUCUAUUCUCCCAGCAAUCAAUGUGGUUUGGGGAAAUUCCAGAAUCUCAUAAUACCUUGGUCAUGGGUAAAUAAGGAAAGGACCUUUACAUACAUGUGAUGCAAAGCAGAUCAAAACAAGCAGAGCAGCCUAAGAGCAGCAAGACCCCAAAGGAUAAGGGAAGUCCUGCAGAAGAGCAGAGCGGUGCUGCAAAGGCAGGCAGGGACGGGAUUUUGCCAUGUUGCCCAGGUUGGUCUCGAACUCCUGGGCUCAAGCUACACCCGCCCGCCUCGGCCUCCCAAAGUUGUAGGAUUAAGGUGUGAGCCACUGUGUCCAGCAGAUAUAAUGUUUUUAAAAGUUUGAGAGUUAAUAUGCUCUCUGGUGUGCCCUAGGUCCCACUACUCCUAUUGCCUUAAAACUCACGCAGUACACAUUUGUCUUCCAUGGGCUUCAGUUGUAAGAGAACCCUUUCUACUCUUUGCUGUUCACAAGUCUCCUUUUAAACAGAGCUUGUUCCCAAUGCUGUUUUGUUUUGCCCUCUGCCAUGUUCUUCCGGCCAUCACCUCCUGUGGGGAAAAGAGAGAGAGAUCACAUUGUUACUGUGUCUGUGUAGAAAGAAGUAGACAUAGGAGACUCCAUUUUGUUCUGUACUAAGAAAAAUUCUUCUGCCUUGAGAUGCUGUUAAUCUAACCCUAGCCCCAACCCUGUGCUCCCUGAGACAUAUGCUGUGUCAACUCAGGGUUAAAUGGAUUAAGGGCUGUGCAAGAUGUGCUUUGUUAAAGAAAUGCUUGAAGGCAGCAUGCUCGUUAAGAGUCAUCUCCACUCCCUAAUCUCAAGUACUCAGGGACACAAAACACUGAGGAAGGCCACAGGGACCUCUGCCUAGGAAAGCCAGGUAUUGUCCAAGGUUUCUCCCCAUGUGAUAGUCUGAAAUGUGGCCUCGUGGGAAGGGAAAGACCUGACCGUCCCCCAGCCCGACACCCGUAAAGGGUCUGUGCUGAGGAGGAUUAGUAAAAGAGGAAGGAACGCCUCUUUGCAGUUGAGACAAGAGGAAGGCAUCUGUCUCCUGCUCGUCCCUGGGCAAUGGAAUGUCUCAGUGUAAAACCCGAUUGUAUAUUCCAUCUACUGAGAUAGGGGAAAACUGCCUUAGGGCUGGAGGUGGGACAUGCUGGCAGCAAUACUGCUCUUCAAGUCAUUGAGAUGUUUAUGUGUAUGCAUAUCUAAAGCACAGCACUUAAUUCUUUACCUUGUUUAUGAUGCAGAGACCUUUGUUCACGUGUUUACCUGCUGACCUUCUCUCCACUAUUAUCCUUUGACCCUGCCACAUCCCCCUCUCCGAGAAACACCCAAUAAUGAUCAAUAAAUACUAAGGGAACUCAGAGGCCGGUGGGAUCCUCCGUAUGCUGAACACCGGUCCCCUGGACCCCUUUUUUUCUUUCUC